rnacentral:rRNA from 1 species
GGCUCAGAAUCAACGCGGGCGGCGCGCCUAACACAUGCAAGUCGAACGAGAAAGGGGAGCAAUCCCUGAGUACAGUGGCGUACGGGUGAGUAACACGUGGGUAAUCUGCCUCUUAGUGGGGAAUAACGCUGGGAAACCGGCGCUAAUACCGCAUAAGCCCGAGAGGGGAAAGCAGCAAUGCGCUGAGAGAGGAGCCCGCGGCCGAUUAGCUGGUUGGUGAGGUAACGGCCCACCAAGGCAAAGAUCGGUAGCCGGCCUGAGAGGGCACACGGCCACACUGGCACUGAAACACGGGCCAGACUCCUACGGGAGGCAGCAGUGGGGAAUCUUGCACAAUGGGGGAAACCCUGAUGCAGCGACGCCGCGUGAGCGAUGAAGCCCUUCGGGGUGUAAAGCUCUUUCGGCAGGGAAGAUGAUGACGGUACCUGCAGAAGCAGCUGCGGCUAACUACGUGCCAGCAGCCGCGGUAAUACGUAGGCAGCAAGCGUUGUUCGGAGUUACUGGGCGUAAAGGGUGUGUAGGCGGUUCUUUAAGUUUGGUGUGAAAUCUCCCGGCUCAACCGGGAGGGUGCGCCGAAUACUGAGGAGCUAGAGUGCGGGAGAGGAGAGUGGAAUUCCUGGUGUAGCGGUGAAGUGCGUAGAUAUCAGGAGGAACACCGGUGGUGUAAACGGCUCUCUGGACCGUAACUGACGCUGAGACACGAAAGCGUGGGUAGCAAACAGGAUUAGAUACCCUGGUAGUCCACGCCCUAAACGAUGCAUAUUUGGUGUGGGUCAUUCAGUUGAUCCGUGCCGGAGCUAACGCGUUAAAUAUGCCGCCUGGGGAGUACAGUCUCAAGGCUGAUACUC